ACCAGAAAAUAAGGAGGGGAGAGAGAGAGAGAGAGAGAGAGAGCUUCGGCUUCGUCCUAUCCCUCUCGACUGGCUAUCUCUGUCAAUAUCUGAGCUUUGAAGCUCCCCAGCCAGACCACCCAUACAAACACACACGUUUACUCUUUCUUUCUCUCUCUCUCUCUCUCUCUCUCUCUCUGUUGUGCAUUAAAUGCGGGCGUUUGGGCUUGGGCUUCCACUCCACUUCCACUCCAUUAUUUGAUUCAAAACCUCUCCGCCAUUCUUUUUUUUUUGUUUUUAAAAUAUGUUUUCCCCUCUGGAGAUCCUUUUCAAGUUCUCUCUCACUUCUUCUACUUGUUUUCUGGUCCUCAUUAUCUUUUGCUUCUUCGUCUCCCCUGAUUUUUUUCUCUCUCUUUUUUCCAUUGCCGCUUAAAUUUUCUUUGUUUUUUUUUAUUCCUUCUCGGAAAAAGAAACUGUUUUCGAAUUGCUUACUUCUUUGAAAUUGUUUUUGAUAUAUAUAUAUAUAUAUAUAUAUAUUUUUUUUUUUUGUUUUACAGAUUUUUACGGGGUGUUAUUGGUUUUGUUUCUGCAUGAUCUGUUUCGUAGGCAUUUCGGAGUGUUCGAAGCUCAUUUUCGGAUCUGAUUUUUUUUUUUUCCGUUUUUUUUGUCCAAACUUUCUCUGCGGAUGGUUCAGAAACUCACAUGGUGUCUAUUUUCCUGCUGUUGAUUGAUUAGGACUGGAGCUUUUUUGUAUAGCUUCUUUUUCAAGAAAGCUUUCGAAAUUUUAAGGAAAAAAUUAAUUUAAAAAAGAAGAAGAAGAAAACGGUGCGCUUUUUCUCUGUGCGACGGUUUUGAUAGGGCAUUUUGAGCCGGUGAAACGGAAUGGAAACGAGGAUGAAAAAGUACCGGCAGGUGAGUCCGGAGAGAGCCAAAGUCUGGACGGAGAAGUCGCCUAAGUACCAUCAGAAUCGCAAAGUGCCGGUGGUUUACUACCUCUGCAGGAAUCGGCAGCUCGAGCAUCCUCAUUUCAUGGAGGUCCCGCUCUCGUCCCCUGAAGGUCUCUACCUCAGAGAUGUGAUUGACAGGCUUAACGUUCUUAGAGGCAGAGGCAUGGCUUCCAUGUAUGCAUGGUCUUCUAAAAGAAGUUACAAGAGUGGUUUUGUUUGGCAUGAUCUCUGCGAAGAUGAUCUUAUCCAUCCUGCCCAUGGAAACGAGUACGUCCUUAAAGGUUCUGAACUCUUUGAAGAAUCCAAUUCAGGUCGAUUGAGCCCCGCUAUGAAUGUCAAAAUACAGAACUUGAAACAAUUACCCGAACCCACAUCGUCUAGAAGCCAAGAUGAUUCAUCUUCGUCGUCGAGUUUGAAUGGAAAAGAAACAAAACAUUCUCAAGAAGAAGAUCUUUCUCCUCCAGCUGAACGCCCAAGUUCUUCUGGUGUCUCUCCGGAGUCUGGAAUUGGACAGAAUUCAACUUGGACCGGUUCUUUGAGUUUGACUGAGUACAAAAUUUACAAGAGUGAAGGUCUAGCCGAUGCUUCAACGCAGACAGAAGAAAAUGUGCGCAGAACUAAAGCCCGAGAUACCUGUACAAGAGGUGUCUCCACAGAUGAUGGGUCAUUAGAACAUGGCUGUGGUGAGAAUUAUCAACAACGUAGGAAGGAAAACUCUGAGAUAUGCGGCGAUUCAGUUUCCCCUCCUCCAUCGUCUUCUAGUGCUUCAUCGUCUGGUGGGAAGACUGAAACUCUAGAGUCUCUAAUUAGGGCUGAUGCUAGCAAGAUAAACAGUUUUAGAAUUCUUGAAGAGGAAGAGCUUAGAAUGCCAAACAAUGCAAGGCUCAAAGCUACCAAUGUUCUGAUGCAAUUGAUAUCUUGUGGGUCUAUAUCAGUUAAGGAUCAUAGUUUUGGCCUGAUUCCAACCUACAAGCCAAGGUUUUCCCAUUCAAAAUUUCCAUCCCCACUUUUCUCGACUUCAGUUAUGAUGGGAAAGUUUGACUGCCUGUCGGAGCAUUCUAAAUUGAUGGGUUUGAGAUUGGAAGAUAAAGAAUAUUUCAGUGGGAGCUUGAUUGAGACUAAAAUGCUCAAAGAUGAUGGACUUUUGGAUCUAAAGCGUUCAUCUUCCUAUAACGCAGACAGGACUCGUAAGCAACUGGAUUCAAUUGAGGUCAAAGAGGAGUCUACAUCAGGAAGAUCAAAAUGCAUACCCCGAUCCAUCAAGGCUUCACUUACAAAGCAACCCCGAAGUGAAUCUAUGAGAUCCCCUGCUUCUGAUAGGCCAAGAAACUCUUCUGAUGGAGUCGAUGGCUCACAAACGAUUACUUCCUGCGUAUCUACUGGUGCUAGUAAAAGAAUGACAGAGCCCUUGAUUGAAAAGCAAUCUCAAUCAAAGAGGCUGGAUUCUUCCAGAGAGGAAGAGAAGGUUAUCAAAAUUGAAGAAAGGCUUGCUUCGGGAGCUCGGGUUAUAAUCCUAUCCAAAGCGCCUUGCGAGUCUGCCAUGAUUGACAGCUAAUAUAAUGGAAAGAUAAAAGACAGCUAUCCAUCUCAAUGCCUGUUUUUCAUUCUGUAAUACUUCUAGUUAUCAGAACAGUUGACAAUCCUUGUCUUGGAAACUCAAAAGACAAAGUAUUGACCAGGCAAAGUCCAGACUUAGGGUGCGUUAAUCCUGUUAUAUUGCCAAGAUGCUUUUUGGGGUUCCCCCCAUUUUUGAAUUUGAGACUGACCCACCAAAGCAGAAUUCAGUAAUGAAAGAAUGGGAUCCCAUGUAAAAUGUGGUUGAAUCUCAAUUAAAUAAAAAAGUACUUUUUUGGACUCGAUUUUCAAAGUGAAAAGGCUCUUUUAAAAAGUCAAAGUGACUUGGUUUUAUAGCAUGAAUUGAUACUUUCCUUCACUUUUUUCUUUUCCCCCCUCUUUGUUUAAUCAAAAAGCUCUUUUGCUUGAUUCACUUAAGGCGUUAAAUUAUUCCUGUGUCUGCUUGCCUCUUUGAAUGUGCAAGAAGCAAAAGAAAAAGGCAGACAAGUAAAUUUGAAUUGCUUGGGUUUUAUUUUUAUAGAUUGGAUAAAUAAGAUCUUCAUCUUUCAAAUUAUGGUGGCAGGGGAGGGAGCAAUAGAGCAUGGCCUGUAAAAAAAGUUGUAAUCACGUGUGAGACAGCUUUUAUUCGAUGCUCGGAAUUUAGGCUUUCUAGAGUGAGAGAGAUAGGUACUGUAUUUGGAGUAAAUGGGGCGUGUGAAGGGUUUUUCCUCUGGAGUUGUGCAAGUGUGAGAAUAGGUUAUUUAUUGUUUUUGUUUGCUUUUUUUUUUUUUUCUUUCAAGUGGCAAAAGUAAGACCUCGAAGACCGAGAAUAAUCUUUACUUGCUGAACAGCACAAACUUAGAGCUUACUCAAAGCUAAAUGACAAGUUGUGCAGGGAAGCAGUUAGAAUAAAGCCAUUGUGCAAGUAAAGGUUGAGCUCGAUGAGAUCAGAUAGUGUGUUCUAAUGGUGAUAUCAUUGCUGCUGCUGCUGCUUUAUGGCCUCAGAGAUGGUGAUGCCUAUUCUUUCAUUCGAUUUAGGGUGGGGAAUUUAUUAUGCAUCAAGUAUUUGCAGCUUUUUUUUUUCCUGUCACUUUCCAUAUAUGGAUAUCAUGG